AUAAUAGUAGUAGCAGCUAAUUCUUUUUGAGCACUCAUUAGAUUCCAGGCACUGUGCUAAAUGGUGUAUCCAUUAUCUCGUUCAAACAUCACAAAUUAUUAUUAAUCCUAAUAUUAUUCCAGCUUUGGAGAUAACGAAUUUGAAGUUUAAACAGGUUAAGUAACUUGACUCCGGGUAGCAGUGGACUUCUCCAGGCAACUACUUUUAAAAGUCGCAGCCCAGACAACUGUGAGCUCAUCUAUUAUUCCAUCACGAAAGGCCUUUAUACGACUAACUUGGAAUAUGACAACCUGGUUUUGGUCUCUAUUCAUCAACCUAGCUCUUCUCCACCUAUCAACAAAAACUUUAUGAACUUUCAACUUGACUUGUGAGCAAGCUGGAUUCACUUUCUGCAAGCGUGACAUUUGACCUAACUCGCCUUUAAAAUUUGAGUCUCUGUCCUGGCUUCCGCUUCUGCAUUGGUGAGACAUCGACUCACAAAGGGGAAAAUACAUUGUCUCUGUGCAUGAAGAAGAAAGCAUUACUGUCACUCAAUAAACGUGGCCGACUUCCUGUGGAAGUUCCCAACUAGAACGCAAACCACCCAAAAGGAAACCUAUAACAAAACAAUUACCUGGAAAUGUGGUUGCAGCUAAAGCAGAAAAGUACUGUUUUUGGCUUCUGGUUUCACCUAUUAUCAGAAAAUACUGGAUGAAAUCAAUGACAAACGUGCAGCAAGAACUGAAGGGGGCUUCCUGCUUGGGAAGAAGAAUGUUGGAAAUUCUGUCGAGCUGUGACUGAAUCGAUGCAUUCUAUCAUACCCUUGCAAUAAGUGACUCUCUGCUUAAAUCUAAUAAAAUGCCUUUUUCUAAAACA
rnacentral:lncRNA from 1 species